GCCAAUGGGAAGGGUAGCGAAGUUACAGUUAAUUACCAUGUUUCUCUAUUAUUAGAUAGGUUAAUUUUGCUUCUGUCAUUCUCUUCCAUAGUUAUCUAGGUUAGAUUAAAAUGCUUCAUUUGUGCUCCAAAUAUAUGCUAAUGUCUUAAUUCAUUCAACAUGCUUUCAGCAACAAUUCAUGGUCUCCCCUGUGCUGGAUACUCUAUUAAAUGCUGAGCACCCAGAGGUAAACUUGCAGUCCCUCUCCUUCAUGAAUUGAGCUUUGUGGCGAACAGCUGAAGAUAGUCAAUGAUCUCAGUAGGGUAAAUUCUGCCAUAAAAUAAUGAACAUGGAGGUUGAGGGACAUAUUGUAAAGUGUUUCCAAAUAGAAUCUUCCAGCACCUACAUAUUCAUCCUGAAUAAUCCUCAGUGUCUGACACUGCUUAUUACUGUCCCUACCCACUUGCCUUCCUGUUUUUGCCCAAGUCUUUAUAUGUGUUGGAGUUCAUCUCCCUUAGUUAUAACCUUGAUUUAUCUCAAUUCUUACUUUGCUUUUUGCCUGUGCUACAUAGGUCAAUUUGAACAAUGUCUUUCCUGGAAUUAUUUUGCUUUGUUAUGAUUGUGUGGCUACAUCUUCACCAGGAUAAUCCUGGCUCAUUUCUUCCAACAUUGCAUUUUCAUUAUUUAUCUACUGGAAAGCAGACUUUUAGUUGUUGACAUAUCCAAUAAGUCCAUGUGGAGGGGUGUGUAGGAAACAUUUCUUCCAGAGGGAUCCUCUCGUGGGGAGUGCUGUAUUACAGCUUUACCUAAGACACACCCUGCCCUCAACAAACACUCCUCUUCACUGGUGUCUACUUAUCUCUGUUGAGGAUUUUCACAGUAUUUACAGUCAGGUUGCAAGAUGCUAACUAGAGGCACAACACCAACCAGGAGAGCAGCUGGCUUACUGUCAUGCAAGUCAGCAGGCACCUUCCACAACAUUGGAAGUCUAUGCAUUCCUGGCAUCCAGAUUGUUGUUGUUUUAAAUCUAAAUUAUAAGCAACCUUAUUUUUUACACAAAAGAAAUCAUACUGAACAUGUCCUCAAACUUUCUUUGUUCUCAGAUAAUUCAAAGACCUUUUGGUAUACCCCAGUGCUGCGACCUGCAAGGCUGGGCUCAGGAUCUGAAGGAGGGGCUGAUGCACAAAUGAAAAUGAUAUACAAGAAAUAUGAUUUUAGAAGGCAUUGGCGAAGAUGCCAGCUGAGUGAUCUGCUUUUAGUCAGCUAGAAACAACAUUAAUCCCCACUGAGACGAGUUCCUCCUAACACCACACUCUUCAAAGGUUCAUGGCUCUCCUGUGGUAGGGGGAUGAGCUCCCCAGUGCCCACAUGGCUCAUGGCCAAGUUGGACUCCACACAUGGACUAAUGGACUUUAAUUAGCUUGGAUGCUGAACCACACCCAGCCGCUGCAUUGAACGGAAGCUCUAGACACUGGCCUUCCUUCUGGUUGUGCUGAACUCCCAGCUGCCCCUCUUUUAGGACGAGCUUGGGGGAAAUGGGACAUUGGAAACUGAGGAAUGUAACUCCAUGCCAAUAAAACCUUCUACCACCUCUCA